UGGCUCAGGAUGAACGCUGGCGGCGUGCCUAAUACAUGCAAGUCGAACGAACUUCCGUUAAUUGCAUUAUGACGUGCUUGCACUGAAUGAGUAUUUUAACACGAAGUGAGUGGCGGACGGGUGAGUAACACGUGGGUAACCUGCCCAGAAGYAGGGGAUAACACCUGGAAACAGAUGCUAAUACCGUAUAACAGAGAAAACCGCCUGGUUUUCUUUUAAAAGAUGGCUCUGCUAUCACUUCUGGAUGGACCCGCGGCGCAUUAGCUAGUUGGUGAGGUAACGGCUCACCAAGGCGAUGAUGCGUAGCCGACCUGAGAGGGUAAUCGGCCACAUUGGGACUGAGACACGGCCCAGACUCCUACGGGAGGCAGCAGUAGGGAAUCUUCCACAAUGGACGCAAGUCUGAUGGAGCAACGCCGCGUGAGUGAAGAAGGGUUUCGGCUCGUAAAGCUCUGUUGUUAAAGAAGAACGUGGGUGAGAGUAACUGUUCACCCAGUGACGGUAUUWACCAAGAAAGCCACGGCUAACUACGUGCCAGCAGCCGCGGGUAAUA
rnacentral:rRNA from 1 species